CUCUCUGAGACUGGAUUAAAUUUGCUUUUCUGACUCCAAGUUCUGCUCUCUUAUCCCUUCACUACCAGCUACCUUUCAUUUCUGUGUAAUGGAGGUUGUGGAAUGUGCCUAUCCUUCUGUUACAAGAGAUAAAAAUGGAAUUUUCUGACUGCAAAUGAUUCCCAUGGAAUUCACCCUCCUGCAACUAUCCCAAGAGUGAAUACAACAGAAGCCAUUCUGUAGGUCUUACUUUCAUACCCCCUUUCUUUUAAGAUGGACUAAAUUUUUAAUUUUUCUCUCCUGAACCCUCCUUUCUUAUGUCCAGGUGUUCCAGUUCCUAAAAAAUAUUGUACCUCCUGUUGUCAGCAAGGGGAAGCACCAUUGCUGCUGGAGCAAAAAGGCCCCAGGAGCUCCUGUUCAGUUUCCAAUCUCCUUCUCGUGUCCACCCACGAAUAUAUUAAGUUGUGGCUACAAGAAUAUGGCACCCACAUGCUCUUAAGGCUCCUGAGAAGACAUAUUUGGUUAAUUAUUGGAGAAGGAACAGUGGACUUCCACAUUGGCCAGUGAGAUAAUUUAAACAUCUGGACACCCAUGAAGCACAUCAAACCAUGGAAAGGACCAGAUGCAUAUGCAUAC
rnacentral:lncRNA from 1 species